rnacentral:sRNA from 1 species
AUGAUUUCAAUUAUUAUUGAGAAUAUUACGUAAUUAGAGACUUUUUUUAAAGUUAGUUCCUAAUUAGGCACUUUAAAUGGAGAAGGUAAUUUAGAUAAAUUAUUUUACUUAUUUACCCUUUAACUACAUUUUUUCCAUCGGCCAUCUCUUCUCUCUCCUUUUCCCAUCUCUUCUCUUUUUUUUUCUUUUUUCUCACUUUAUCGAAGAAAAAAACCUUUUCCAGAAUAUCUUCAAUUCCAAAUCUGCAAUUAAUCUCCAAAUCCACACUACGCGAUGGCUUUCUCUUCUCUCUAGACUAAUUGGAGAAUACGAGGUCUUGGUUUCUUAUAAGAUUGUGAUUUAUUUUGAAAUUUAAAUAUUUGUUUUGACUUAAAUUUGAGAUUCAGUUAUCUAAGAAACUUCUUCUUCUUCAACAAUGGCGGCUUGAUUUGAUUUUUGCUCUCUCUCUCAUGUGUCAAACUCGUUUCAUCUAUGUAGCAUCGAGAUUCCGGUUAAUCGAAUUUCUUGUUAUCAUGGACAUGGUAUACAGAAUGGAUAUAGAGCAGUAAAAAGGUUUCCGAAGGGAUAUAUUUAAAUGGACUCGUUAUUAUGGACACCAAAACAUUGUUUGUUGAUUUUGUUACAGUUUGCAGAGACCUCCACCUCCAAGACCUUAUGGACAUAGAACUUUUACCAAAUUCCUGAGAUAAUCGAGAUCGAAUUGUUUAAGAAACUUCUCCAAAAGUUAUGGAGACGUGGAGAGAGAGAGGCGCUACAAAUCAUAGAGAGAGAGAGAGAGAGAGAGAGAGAGAGAAAAAAAAAAGAGACAGAUAUUUUAUUUAUUUUCGAUAAGGAUCGUGGAAGAUGUAUAACAAUAAAGAGAAAUUGAGAAUUAAAAACAUAAAUAUUGAAUUGAGGGUAAAAAAGUCUAUAAAAAAAUGAAUUAGUAGAAAAGGUGUCUAUUCCCUAUAAAGCGCCUCAAACGGAAAAACAUUCUUUUAAAAGUGCCUAAUAGUGGAACAUUCCCAUUAUUAUUAUCAACAAAUCCCAAAUCGUGAGAGGUUAUUUUAAGAUUGGUUAGUUUUAAAACCAAUCUCUUAUUAGAAAUCUACAGUGAACCGAGUUAAUACAUAGGAAAAAAUAUAAUCAGCUACACCAAGUAUAGUGGAAUACAUAGCUACACCAAGUAUAGUGGAAUACAUAGCCACACAUGCCAAGUUUAGAAAUGUACAAUCAACUACACGAACUAGAUGUAUUUCAUCCCCACAUAUACCAACUACAUGACGGCAUGUGAUCAAUGAACAUCUUUUUCCGGUAUACAAAUUGUUGAAAUCCAGUAUUGACCAAUGUUGAUCAGCAUUGACCAACAAAAAUAUUCGAAAAAU